GACUAGGAUAGCUCAGUCGGAAGAGCAUGAGACUUAUAAUCUCAGGGUUUGGGGUUCAAAACCCAUGUUGGUCA